rnacentral:rRNA from 1 species
AGUGAACGCUGGCGGCAGGCCUAAUACAUGCAAGUCGAACGGCAGCACAGCAGAGCUUGCUCUGUGGGCGGCAAGUGGCGGACGGGUGAGGAAUACGUGGGAAUCUGCCCAGUCGUGGGGGAUAACGUAGGGAAACUUACGCUAAUACCGCAUGCGCCCUUCGGGGGAAAGCCGGGGACCUUCGGGCCUGGCGCGAUUGGAUGAGCCCACGUCGGAUUAGCUAGUUGGCGGGGUAAAGGCCCACCAAGGCGACGAUCCGUAGCUGGUCUGAGAGGAUGAUCAGCCACACUGGAACUGAGACACGGUCGAGACUCCUACGGGAGGCAGCAGUAGGGAAUAUUGGACAAUGGGCGCAAGCCUGAUCCAGCCAUGCCGCGUAAGUGAAGAAGGCCCUCGGGUUGUAAAGCUCUUUUGUCCGGAAAGAAAAGCGCCGGGUUAAUACCCUGGUGUCCUGACGGUACCGGAAGAAUAAGCACCGGCUAACUUCGUGCCAGCCGCCGCCGUAACAC